ACUCCUACGGGAGGCAGCAGUAGGGAAUCUUCCACAAUGGACGAAAGUCUGAUGGAGCAACGCCGCGUGAACGAUGAAGGCUUUCGGGUCGUAAAGUUCUGUUGUAAGGGAAGAACAAGUGCCGCAGGCAAUGGCGGCACCUUGACGGUACCUUGCGAGAAAGCCACGGCUAACUACGUGCCAGCAGCCGCGGUAAUACGUAGGUGGCAAGCGUUGUCCGGAAUUAUUGGGCGUAAAGCGCGCGCAGGCGGCCUCUUAAGUCUGAUGUGAAAGCCCCCGGCUCAACCGGGGGAGGGCCAUUGGAAACUGGGAGGCUUGAGUAUAGGAGAGAAGAGUGGAAUUCCACGUGUAGCGGUGAAAUGCGUAGAGAUGUGGAGGAACACCAGUGGCGAAGGCGACUCUUUGGCCUAUAACUGACGCUGAGGCGCGAAAGCGUGGGGAGCAAACAGGAUUAGAUACCCUGGUAGGAUAGCG
rnacentral:rRNA from 1 species